AGCGAACGCUGGCGGCAGGCCUAACACAUGCAAGUCGAACGAAGUCAUCGGACUUAGUGGCGGACGGGUGAGUAACACGUGGGAACGUGCCUUUAGGUUCGGAAUAACUCAGGGAAACUUGUGCUAAUACCGAAUGUGCCCUUCGGGGGAAAGAUUUAUCGCCUUUAGAGCGGCCCGCGUCUGAUUAGCUAGUUGGUGAGGUAAAGGCUCACCAAGGCGACGAUCAGUAGCUGGUCUGAGAGGAUGAUCAGCCACAUUGGGACUGAGACACGGCCCAAACUCCUACGGGAGGCAGCAGUGGGGAAUCUUGCGCAAUGGGCGAAAGCCUGACGCAGCCAUGCCGCGUGAAUGAUGAAGGUCUAAGGAUUGUAAAAUUCUUUCACCGGGGACGAUAAUGACGGUACCCGGAGAAGAAGCCCCGGCUAACUUCGUGCCAGCCGCCGCAGUAA
rnacentral:rRNA from 1 species